GUAGGGUUGUAGCUCAGUGGUUGAGCGCUGGCCUCACAUGCAUGAGGCACUGGGUUCAAUCCUCAGCACUACA
rnacentral:tRNA from 1 species